AGCCUCGCGAAUCCGUGCUGAGGCUCUGUCAGAUUCCAGACCAACAGGACUGAUGAGACUCCCAAGAUAAGUGAUGCG
rnacentral:pre_miRNA from 1 species